ensembl:lncRNA
AACACUUCUAGAAGAGGAAGGAGACAUCAAUACAGUCACAAAACCUUCAACUCGAAAUCUGUCUUGCCAAUAAGUGUGCAGGGAUAAAGACAGAAACGUAGCACACCUGUCUCCAGAGGCUUCACUCAGCGGCUGAAAGCCACAGCCAAUCCUCAGAUGGAGCUCAAUCUUCAGGAAACAUCUCAACGAAGAACAAGAGAGGCUGGAGAAGAAUGGGGAAGGGUUUGAUCUCUGAAGUUCCUCAGUGUCCACUAGCACAGCACUUGUCCUUGGGAGAUGACAUCUUUCACUCUUCCUGACUGUUGCACCAAUCAGAAUUACAAGCUCUGUGGAUGAACCUGUAAAAGAGGACAGUUGCUCUUGGGCCAAUAUGGAGGUUCCUGACCUCUCAGCAAGCUCACGGCUGACUUUUGAGGUCUCUUGAGGGUGAGCAAAAUGAAGACACACAGAG